rnacentral:tRNA from 1 species
GGGUGUGUUACCAAUGGGUAGGCUACUCUGCAAAGGUAGUUUUAGUAUUUUACUCGCGCCUU